ACUAGGCCAAGGGGGCUGGCCUGAGGUUCAAUAAUUUUUAAUAAGUGCAAAAUAUGUACCAGCUCACACACACUCCCUGGUCUCAUGGAAUUUACGGCGUAGAUGAGAAGAUCAACAUUAAAGUCUAGCUGAUGAUACUGAUGAAUGCAUAACUAUACACAGAGUAGUGCUCUGAAGAAAGGAAUGCUGCACUACAAAAGGACACGAUGAAAGAGCCCGACCUUGACUGGGGAUCAGGGAAAGCUUCUUCGAGGAAGCAAUCCUUGAGCUGAGAACCGAUUUGUGAGUAGGAGUUAAUUAGGUGAAAGAGGUAGAGUGGGAUGGAAAGAGCAUUCCUAACAGAGGUACGGUGUUUGUGUUUCCCUGUCUAUCUAUCCAUCCAUUUGUCUGUUCAUCCAUCCGUCCAUCCUGUUUUACAAAACAGUAUAUUACCAAGUGAUCAUGGAGAUGUAAAUAGGUAUAAUUGUCUCUGUUUUCUAAGUCUGUAAGUCAAUUUGGGGACACCAGAGAAGAAUUCUUUUAAAAAUUCCUCAGAAAAUGUUAGGAGGUUAUUUUAAGUCAUAAUAGACAAGAGGCAAUUUCAGCCCUUACUCUUGCUCUUAUUGGAAGGGGAUUUGCCUGAGUGAACAUCAAGAGGCCGCUCUCCCCUGGGUAUCUACCUUGUUCUGCCUUUUUCCCUGUGGAGAAGGUGCAGAAUGCAGAGGAUAAGACCCAUGUGCCAGCAGCCUAACGCUGCUUCCAUGGGAACUGAAAUUUGCAGUUAAAAAUUGAAGCAAAAUCCUCCAUUAAUAGAGGAAUUUAUCUGAUUUUACAAUGAGUCACGUUUUCCUAGUGCUUUUAGGAUCAACCAGAAAGCAAAAUUCAGUAUUUUAAAAAAAGGGAAUUAAAUUGGUAUCUGUUCUACAUAAAGCGAUUUCAUCAUCUCACUGUGAUCUCCAAGAAUAUGGUUCCUCAUACGAAAAUCAGGGAUAGUUUGCAGGCAUGCUUUUAGUGAUUAGCAAAUUAUUUAUUUACAGUUGUUGUCAGAUUAAUGGUAAAUGUUCCACUGAGUUCACAGAAUCUUGGCAUUGAAUUUAUACCUGGAAUGAGCUUAGAGAUCCAGUAUAGCUCUCAUUUUACACAAGAAGAAAUCGAAAGCCAGAUAGGUUAAGUGACUUUUUCAAGCGACUUAAAAAUUUAUGCCCCAACUCAUUUCACAGGCUUUUGUGAUAGCUGUGCAAGUAGGGUAUAAGCUAUUUAGGAUCUUCUAUCUCCUGGUUCAGUGUGGGGGACUCUGGAGUAUGAUUCUGCACUCAAAUUCUUGCUAUUUACUAGCCUUGUGACCUUGGAAAAAUUGCUUAACUUCCCUAAGCUUCAGUUUUCUCAUCUCUAAAAGAGGAUAAUAAUUGUACCCACAUCCCUGCAUUGUUGUGAAGAUUAGAAUGCAUGAGAAGAGGCAGGCCUGUAGUAAACACUCAGUAAUUGCUUUGUGAUGUUUCUUGCUUUGGCCAACAGAAAGAAGACGGAAGUGACCAUAUGCCAGUUCAGAGUGGGACUUCAAGAAGCAUGGUUUCCAGGUUGUCUUCAAGGAGUACACCAUUGACUCUGAAAUUAGCUGUUGUGUGGACAGAUACGUUACAAGUCUCUAAAUUACCAAGCUGCAGGAUCUUGUCAUUCCAAUGCUUUAAUGGACUCUAACACCAUUUCAGCCCUCCCUUCUGCCCUGAGACCUUGUCACCUGGGCAAUUUCAGGUUUCUUUUCCUUCCAGAUGUCAGGGCCUCUCCUCCUCCUCCUUGCUUUUCUUUAGCAUCAACAUUUCCAACUACUAUUUUCUAGUUAUCUUUCUUUUUGUUUCUGUGAUACAUCCAAACCUUGGAUUUUCCCUAAAGGGAAAAGUGGGUCUUCUGCCUAGGAGAAGUGGAUGGCUUCCCAAGUUGUGCUCAAGGGCUCUUUCCUCAGUUUUCAGAUUUUUUGGGAACUGAAAAAUCUGGUUGCUGGAUUGUGUGUAUGUGUGUGUUCCCUAUCAUCACAGAAAAGAAAGAAUAUGUGUGAUAGCAUUCUCUUUUAAAGUCAGUUGAAAUCUUGUAUAGAGAAUGUUUGAGAAGACAUUCCCUGAAAGAUGUUCCCUGAAGAGAUGUUCCAGGGUGGCAUCACCCAAGCAGAUGUGAAAAGUACUUUCCUGGAGGCGCUCUGGGGUGAAAAGUUUUCUCCUUCCAGAAUGCUUUCCUAGUAGCCUGUAUCUCUAACAAUUUAUCAUCUGUAUCAGAGUCACCAGGGUGGUAUUAACUAUGCAGAUUCCUGAGUUACACCCCAGAGCCACUGGGUUGGAGCCUUUGGGGGCUGGGAGCCAGGGAUUGGCAUUUUAACAGAUACCCCAGUUUCCGAGCCACUGCCUCCUAGUAGAACUCCCACCAGCUCCAGAGCUUCUCCUAUAUGCCUCACCUGCAACAAAGCCGCAGACCCUUCUGUCUCGGAGACAGGGAUGGGAGGGAGGGAAGAUGGCUCCCUGCCUCUUCUCCAAAACUCUCUUGUGUGGCUGGGCCUAGUAUCUGUGAGUGAGAAGGUCAUGCAGGAAGGUCAGUGUACAAGGCUUAGGAAAUACAUAAGGAGUGAAACACUGAGAUGUUUCCCUGACUUCUAGUCAGGGAUUAUGGAACAAGCACCAUUUUGUUUUUUCACUCGCUAGUCCUCAAAAUAUUUUUUAAGGGGCCGGCCCGGUGGCGCAGCAGUUAAGUUCGUACAUUCCACUUCUUGGUGGCCU